CUCGCCCCAAUAUUUGUCUCUCUUGGUGUUUGUAGGCAAUAAGAUGACCUUUUCCACACACCUUUAUUCUUUCCCUCUUUACGACUUUAUUGUAAGUAUAUGUAACCUUAAACUAACGAAAUAUAAGUUACUUGAACCCUACUCUCGAGAUGUUACUUCGAUCUCUGUACGUAUAGGCAAGAUUACAUCUCUUAAAGUAACGCUAUAUAAGUUACGUCAACCUUAACCUGCGAGAUGUUUGUAUAAGUAACCUCAAUUCACUGGUAUGUUUGUAUAAGUAACAUCAAUUCAUUUCAUAUGUCGUAUGUUACUUUGAUCUGUAUGUAAAGGGAAGAUUACAUAAUUUAAACUAGCAAAAUAUAAGUUAUGCCAACCUUACCUUUGAGAUGUUUGUAUAAGUAACUUCAAUUCAGUCGUAUGUCGUAUGUUCAUUUGAUCUCUGUAUGUCAAGGAGAGAUUACGUCAUUUAAACUAAUGGAAUAUAACUUGUCAACCUUACCUACGAAGUGCUUGUAUAAGUAACUGCAAUUUGUAUGUCGUGUGUUAAUUUGAUCUCUGUACGUUGAGGCAAGAUUACGGCAACCCGGCACUCACUGUUAUGCUCAUUUUUCGUCUUUAUGUAGAUGUAACAUUACGAUCCAUGUUAUACUGAAGUUACUGUGUCAUCCCUAACAUUACGUAUAUGUCACUUUGGUUACUAAGUCUUGUUAACAUUACUAACCAUUAUAUUUAAGUUACUGUGUCAUCCCUAACAUUACGUAUAUGUCACUUUGGUUACUAAGUCUUGUUAACAUUACUAACCAUUAUAUUUAAGUUACUCUGUCAUCCCUAACAUUACGUAUAUGUCGCUUUGGUUACUAAGUCUUGUUAACAUUACGCAUUCAUUCACUUUGGUUACUAAGUCUUGUUAACAUUACGCAUUCAUUCACUUUGGUUACUAAGUUUUGUUAACAUUACGCAUUCAUAUUCACUUUGGUUACUAAGUCUUGUUAACAUUACGCAUUCAUUCACUGCGGUUACUAAGUCUUGUUAACAUUACGUAUCCAUUUCAUUUGUUACUAUGCCAUUUGUAACAUUACGUAUACAUGUCACUUUGGUUACUAAGCUUUUUUAGCGUAAUAUAUCCAUUUAAUUUAAGUUACUAUGUCAUUUAACAUUACGUAUACAUAUCGGUGUGGGUACCAUGUAUCUUGUAACAUUACGAUCCGUGCCACUUAAUAUACGUAUAUAUUUUGUAACAUUCUGAUCCAUGCCACUAAAAUUAAUAUGCCAUUUGUAACAUGAUGAAUUCUGACACUUAAAUUAUUGUUAGUUCAUCUGCAACAUUACGAUCCUCAUCAUACGUAAGUUACCAUGUCCUCAGUAACAUUACGUAUCUAUGUCACUGCUGAGUUACUGUAUCUUUUUUUAUACAAUCAUUCCACAAUCUUUCUACAAUCCCUGUCAUGCUUAAGUCACUACGCUGUCUGUAACGCUCGGUCCUCGUCACUUACGUCACCAUAUCUUCCGUAACAUUACAAUCCCUAUCACACUUGGGUUACUGUGUCAUCUAUAGCAAUGCGUACUCCUGUCCCUUCGGUGCUAAAUCUUUUGUAAUGUUUAUUUCUGUCACUAUUAACUUGCUCUGCCCUUUGUAACACUGAGACCAGGUUAUGUUAGUCAUUUGUUUUGUCUUUUUCUGUAUGUUGAGACAAGGUUAUGGAAGCUAGUCAUUUGUUACGUCUAUUCUUCUUUAGUUCAAGACAAGGUUACGUUGACUAGCGUCCGUUACGUCACGCCUUUACAUUGAGACAAGGUUACGUUAGUGUCAUUUGUUUUAUUCUUUUUUACAUCGACACAAGGUUAUGUUAGCCAGUCAUUCAUUACACAUGUUUUUCUUUAGUUUGAGACAAGGUUAUGUUAGCCAGUCAUUCAUUACACAUGUUUUUCUUUAGUUU